rnacentral:rRNA from 1 species
GACGAACGCUGGCGGCGUGCUUAACACAUGCAAGUCGAACGGAAAGGCCUUGCUUCUUUCGGGUGUUCGUGUGGCGAACGGGUGAGUAACAAAUGAGUAAUCUACCCUCGCCUUAGGGGUAACUUCAAGAGACUGGGGACAAUACAUGCUACAAGCUCCUUCUUCAUGGCGUGGGGUGGAGAGUAGCGGCGGCUGGGGAUGGAGGCGCGGCAGUUCAGCUGGUUGGUGAGGUAGUGGCUUACCAAGGCUUUGAAGGGUAGCCGGCCUGCGAGGGUGACCGGCCACAGUGGGACUCGGGAGGGGCCCAGAGUCCAACGGGAGGCAGCGGUGGAGAAUAGUGCACGAAGGGCGGAGGCAGGAAGCAGCAACGUCGGGUGGGAGAGGACUGCUUAUGGGUUGGAAACCGCUUUCGCCGGUGAGGAAGAGUGAGUGACGGUAAUGGGUUAAAAAGCACCGGCUAACUACGUG